UUACAAUGGAGAGUUUGAUCCUGGCUCAGGAUGAACGCUAG
rnacentral:rRNA from 1 species